UGAACGCUGGCGGCGUGCCUAAUACAUGCAAGUCGAGCGAACAGACGAGGAGCUUGCUCCUCUGACGUUAGCGGCGGACGGGUGAGUAACACGUGGAUAACCUACCUAUAAGACUGGGAUAACUUCGGGAAACCGGAGCUAAUACCGGAUAAUAUAUUGAACCGCAUGGUUCAAUAGUGAAAGACGGUUUUGCUGUCACUUAUAGAUGGAUCCGCGCCGCAUUAGCUAGUUGGUAAGGUAACGGCUUACCAAGGCAACGAUGCGUAGCCGACCUGAGAGGGUGAUCGGCCACACUGGAACUGAGACACGGUCCAGACUCCUACGGGAGGCAGCAGUAGGGAAUCUUCCGCAAUGGGCGAAAGCCUAACGGAGCAACGCCGCGUGAGUGAUGAAGGUCUUCGGAUCGUAAAACUCUGUUAUUAGGGAAGAACAAAUGUGUAAGUAACUAUGCACGUCUUGACGGUACCUAAUCAGAAAGCCACGGCUAACUACGUG
rnacentral:rRNA from 1 species